UGGGGAAUAUUGCACAAUGGGCGAAAGCCUGAUGCAGCGACGCCGCGUGAGGGAUGACGGCCUUCGGGUUGUAAACCUCUUUCAGCAGGGACGAAGCGCAAGUGACGGUACCUGCAGAAGAAGCACCGGCUAACUACGUGCCAGCAGCCGCGGUAAUACGUAGGGUGCAAGCGUUGUCCGGAAUUACUGGGCGUAAAGAGUUCGUAGGCGGUUUGUCGCGUCGUUUGUGAAAACCAGCAGCUCAACUGCUGGCUUGCAGGCGAUACGGGCAGACUUGAGUACUGCAGGAGAGACUGGAAUUCCUGGUGUAGCGGUGAAAUGCGCAGAUAUCAGGAGGAACACCGGUGGCGAAGGCGGGUCUCUGGGCAGUAACUGACGCUGAGGAACGAAAGCGUAGGUAGCGAACAGG
rnacentral:rRNA from 1 species